rnacentral:lncRNA from 1 species
UCCUCAAACCCUAAACUAAAGUCUCUAUAUAUAGGGAGGAAGGGACAUACUUAACUCAUGAAACCAACCAAAAGUCAAUCAUAGGAUCACUGGCUUAGAAUCUGAACCAACAAAUAGCAUAACAAACACAAAACACCCUAGCUAGCAGGUUAGUACAAGAGCACAAUUGCUCUCUUGUACAAAAUAGUGAAAUUGUCAUUGAAAAACAAAUAUGGCUACCUAGCCUUAUCUCUCUACUCAAAACAUACAAGCCAACUCAAACGACACCAACAAUGUGAGGAACCAACACCAAAAUUUUCCUAAAUGAUGCCUAAAUGGGCAAACCAAUAGAGAUUAUGUUUGAAGGUUUAGGGAGAAAGAGCAGGCAUAUAGUUGAGAUUUAAAGAUGAAAGUGACUAGGGUUUUAGCUCAAUUUCUACGGGUUAAAGGAGACAAAGAACAUUUGGUAAAUAUACUAACUAGGUAAAAUAUCAGCAUUUGGCAUGGUCAAAGUUUGGUCAGGUCCCUAAAUAUGAGUGUUUUUUUCAAGUUAAUACGCUUGAAGUUUUGGUUUUAAAAUCAUGCCUAUAAAUUCAACUGAAUAAUUAAAAUUAUUCAAUUAAGUCCUUGGAUAAAAUUAAAAAUAACCUCUUAAUUUCUUUAUUUUUCAAAAGGGCCCUUAGAUUUUAAAAUUCUCCUUAAUUAAAGUUAACAAUAGUUAUAAAAAAUUCAAUUAAGUCCUUGAUUGAAUUAAUAGAACCUCACAAGCUAUGCCUAGUUGCCAAUUUUAGUCCUUAGUUCUUUAAUUCCUAUAAUUGUAACUCAAUUCAAUUACAUCAUUAAAAAAAUUAUUUUGUUGAAUCGAAAAUCUGAGAAAGUUUUGUCUAGUCAACCUCAAAUAUAGUUUUGGAUUUUUUUUAUUUUUAAUGUUUUUUAAAGUAUUUUUGGAUUUUAAAAAAAAAUUAAUUGAGAGGUAAAAACUAAGUUAUAACAUUUGUGAUUUGCUAUUUUGAUUUUAACCAUAGUUGUGAUUUGCUAAGUUAUAACAUUAGGUCGUCUAGUCAAUCAUUUUGUUUAAAACAUCAUUUUAGUUUUUUUUAAUUCAUUGAAGUUUACCUAUCAUAUGUCAUCCAGGUUUGUCUCGAUUAAUUGGAUCAUUGGUCAACUUAUGGGUCACCCAGGUUUAGCCAGGUCAAUGUCCAAAAUAGUUCGAAGUGAAACCCCACUCAGGUCACCGGGUCAUCAAAUGAGGGGGUAAACUAAGUUUAAUAAUUAUGAUUUUAACCAAAUGGUUAUAACAUAUGAAAAUAGCUAGGACUAAUUAGUUGAACAAAAAUAUAUAAGUUGUAUGAGAUUUAAGAAAAUGAAAUCAGGGAUGGACUUAUGAAACACAUAAUAAGUUAGGGUGUCAAUUAGUAUCUACCCAAAAACAAAAUUAAGGAAAAAACUUAGGAGUCAUUUGAUUAUCAUUCCAAUAGAAAAAUCAAAAUGAAAAUUAAAGAAUCAAAAUAAUAAUUGAUUUCAAUAUCGUGUUUGGAAUAGUUAAAAAGAAUUAAAAUGAAAUUUUAAAAUAUUUAAUACCUUUGUUUUUAAGAUAGAAAGGAAUAAUGAUUAAAAUAAAUGAUUCAUCAAUAGUGUGAUAGCUCAAAUUAUAGAAGUGAUUGUGAUGAUGAAGAGGGAGGUGGUGGUGAAGAAGAAUUAGAAAUAAUCGAUAGAGGUAGUGAUAAUAUUAUAGUAAUAACAACAAUAUUUAAAAAAAAGUUCAUGUCAUCAUCACAAGAGGUGGCAAUAAAAGAAGAAGAGUGGUGGUGGAGAAAAAAAUAAGUGGUGAAUGUAAUGGAAGAGUGGUUGUGUAAUAAUAAUAAUUUAUUUUAAAAUAUCAUAAUCAGCUAUCACUAUUAUGAUAAUGGUUAAGGUAUUGGUGAUAGUGGUUAAAUUAGUUGAGUAGAAUUAAUAUCUUGUUCUUAAAAAAAAAAAACAAAAUCAUUCUUAUUUCCUAGUUUUAUUCUCACCACUAUCAUUAGAAUGGAAGUUUUGUUUUCAUUCCUCCAAUUUCAUUCCUUAUUACUAAACAACAUCUUAAUGGUUUUAAAAUACUUUAUGUUGAAACUCUAAGAAAGGUUGAGUGAAAUAUCCGAGAAGAAUGGAGGACUUCUCCUUACUCAAACCAUUUUAAAGCUCUCAUUGAACAAAUAAGAAAAAUAAAAGAGUUUACAAUUUUUUGUUACAAAAAAAAUAAAACAAUCUAUAAGAAAUAAUAUUGUCAAACUAAUGAAUUUGUAAUUUAGCAACAUGUCCUCCUCGCUUAAUAGGUUGGGUCCAAGCUUUCUUAUUCCAACCGGAAAAAAAUAUAACUAAUCUUAAGAAGUGUUUUAUCCCCUCUCCUCUUGUCAAUAGUCAUAACUUCUCAUUUCAUAUUAAAAUUAGAUAGAGUUUAAGAUAAAAAUUUUGUGAUAGUGAUUUAGCACAAGAAACAUAUUAUUUUCUUCAAUCUUCAUUUUCUUUUACCUUUUAUGAAAUACAAAUUUAUUAGAAGCUAAUAAAUUUUUGUGAUAGUGAUUUAGCACAAGAAACAUAUUAUAAAAAUUCAUCUAAGGUGCGUUGCUCCAUCUUUUGCAUUAUGAUCGUGUUGUUUUGUUUCUAUUGGUACAAUAAAAAGCAACUCCUAAUCAUUUUCAUAACCCAAUUUUUAAUUCUCUUUGAAAAAAGAAAAAGAUUUGCACCAAAAUAUUUUACAGAAAAAAAUUGACAGACUAUUGAAAAAAAAUAAUUGUUGAAAAUGAUCAAAAUACAAAAAGAUUUAGAAAAAUAAAAGAAAGAAAAAAAUACAAUUAGGGAUAAAAUCAGACAAAUAAUGAAUUUCUAAAACGAAUUGAGAUAGAUAAGUACAAAAAAAAGUCAAUAGUACUUUUGAGGGACAAUUAGAGGCUUAAUUGAAGAAAACAUUUAAAAUUGAUAGUCAAAUUGACUGAAAAUAAAUAAAAAAAUUAAAUGAUCAAGGACCAAAAUAGAAAAGUCACUGAAAUUUGAAGGUCUUAUUAAUUCAAUCAGGGACUUAAUUGAAGAGAAAGAUUAUAAUUUCGAGUCAAUUUAACCAAAAAUAAAAAAAUUAAAGGACUGGUGAUCAAAAUGGGAAAAUUGUUGAAAUUUAGUGGUCCUAUUAAUUUAAUCAUCGGUGUAAUUGAAGAGAAGAAAUGAGAUUGAGGGCAAAAUUGACUAAAACACUUAAAUUAAAAAGCAAAUUGAAAAAGGUGCCAAAAUUGAAAGGCCAUUUUUAAUACAAUUAAAGGAGAAACUGUGAAGAAGUUGAGAGAAAAAUGAUGAAAUUGGUUAAAUUUAAAAAUUGAAAAGCUAAGAAUUGAAUUGUAAAAUGCGACAAUAUUAAAGGACUAUUUUAAAUGCAAUUGGGGGCUAAAUUGAAAGAAAUCUUGAAAAAAAGUCAAAAUUGACCAAAAAUAUAGAAUUUAAAAUGCAAGGACCAAAUUGGAAAAGCAAAAUAAAAAAAAGCAUCAAUAAAACGAUGUGUUUCACAAAAUAAAAAGUCUUAAAAAGCCAAAACAACAUCGUUUUGGAAAAGCUAAAACAACCCCUUAUUCUCCAUCAUGCAUGUAUGGCGCCUUCACAUUUUGUUUUCUUCCUUAUUUUUGCAUGUUUUGGUUGGACCCUUGGACAACUCUCUCUCUCUCUCUCUAUCGCCUCCCAUAAAUUCCAAUAAACACACCCAUCACCUCACAUGCAUAUAUAAUUCAUUAUAAACCCAAAACUUAUUACAUUAUCCCUUUGAAAUGGCUCAAAAAGCAGUGCAAAGUGCCCAAACCAAUCAUGUGUGUACAAAAUGUACACCAAAGGUAAAGGGUCAAAAUCAUCCCAAGAAAACCAAGGGACAUGAUUGUUCCACCUAGAAAGGUUCUAGGACCUUCCUUCGUGUCUUUAAAUAUAGAGGCAUAGUAAGAAAGAAAAAAAAAACGAGCUAAUUUAGAAAGAGAAUGUCAAAAUAUGAGAAGAGAAAGUUUGAGCUGAGGGAAAUAAGCUAGAAGGUGAGGGAAGAAAUGAGAAAAGAGAAAGAAAAGCAGAAAAAGAGAAAACCAACCUUAAACCUCAUAAAACCUGAAAAUAGUAAAAAGAAAAUGUGGUCUUUUGGGUCUGAAACUGGUUUGUUUUGAACUAGAGAGCUUCAAAAGAAAAAGUGGAAGAAUAUAUGAAGAAAAAAGAAGAGGAUAAGAUGUUAAAACUAAAUAGAAAAUGGUACAUAAAGCCAGAGAAAGAAAAUUAUCAAAAACACCUCACCACAACCACCCAACCACCAUUAUUGCCACUAUAAGCCACCACAACACCUCCCAAUUCAUCUAGAAUCACCUUUGAGGUAAGUCAUAACCUUUCUUCCCUCUUUUUCUUUCCCUAGUGUUUUGCUUAAGAUAGUUUCUUAUAUGUAGAAACAUAUGUUUUUAGGGUUUAGUUGGGUUUAAUCUAGAUUUUGUAUGCUUUUGAUUAAAAGAAAUAUAAAAAUUAGAUGUUAAAUAUGUGUUUUUUAUUUUCUUAGAAAAUAAUGCAAAAUAAAAAUUUAAAAUUUAUUAGGGUUUACUUGUGUUGGAAUCUAAUGUUUGUCUAUUUUUAAUGAUAAAUAUGACCAGUUAUGAUUUUUCUUGCUUGCUUAGAAGAUGAUGAAUGAAUGAAAAACUUGAAAAAAAAUUUAGGAUUUAGUUUUCUUUUUACCUAGGGUUUGUUGGUUGAGAAAAAAUUAGUUUGAUUGGAAUUUCACAUUUUAACUUUCUUUAGGUUAAUAUUAGGCUUUAUUGAACUUGAAUUCAUUGUUGUUAAUAAUAAAUCCAUGAAAUCUUCUCUUUUUAGGGACUAACGUCAAAAAUUAUCAUUCAAAAAUAAAAAAAAAAUACAGUGAAAUCUCCUAUUUUAGGUAUUAACAUCAAAACUUUUUUAAAAAAUAAAACAAAUUGAUGAAAUCUUCUAUUUUUAAGGAUUCACAUAAAACAUUUUCUUUCAAAAUAAAAAAAUUAAAGAAAUCUCUUAUUUUUAUGGAUUGACGUCAAACUUUAUGAUAAGUAGGCUUAUAGAUAAAUUUAUGUAAUUAAUAGUUUGCUAGAAUAAAUUUAGGAGGAAACACAUAACAAAGAUGACCUUUUAUUUGAAAGGAUGUGAUAAAAGUUAUGUCGAUCUUUCCUUAGACAUAAAUAACUCAUUAUCUGAAUUUUUUAGACCAAUGAUUAUUUUAGGAUUCAUAGUUUCUUUUAAUUACUAGGUGGCAACUCCAUUAUUUUUAUUUUCCUUUUAAUUUUGAAGAGUUUUGUAUUUGUCAUGGUGUGACAACCUUAAACAAUUACAAGUGUGCUUUUACAUGUUUUUUAGACUAAUUAUGUUGAUGACAAUGUUAUGUUGUAAAAUUAUGUCAAGAUUACACAAAUAUUCUUAUAAUGUGUAUAUUGAAAAAAUGAGAAAUAUAGAGAUAAAAAAAAAAUGAGAAAUAUAGAGAUAAAAGAAAUAUCUAAUCUAAGUGAUUUGGUUAAAUUUACUAGGACAAAAAUGGAUCAAAAUUCUAGUAUAUCAAAUACGACGAAUGCAAAGCACAAAUAUAUUGAAUUCAAACUCCAAACCCCAAAUUCUAUAUGCUCCUAAGAUACUUGCAAAGAUCAAUCACACAAAAAGCAUUAAGAAAAACAUACAAAUCUUGAUGGAUAACAACUCAAAUAUAGAAGGAAUAAUUCCUAAAAGCUCUUUAAUCCCAAAGUUCAAAGAUACCUUUGCAAAUAAGUUGAGUCAAGUCAAGCAUAUAUCAAGUUUCGCUCAUUUAGAUUGCUUAAUGAAAUGAAAAACAAGCUAGGUUGUUAUAAUCUAAACUAAUUCUUUUUUUAUAAAAUAUAAAAAAAUCAAACAUGAUAAAAUAUACAAAAAUAAAUAUAAAACUUUUUUAUAUCCCGAGGUUAUAUUUUUUCCUAACUUAUCAUAACUAUAUUCCAAUUAAAUAAUAAUAUAUUUGAAGCUUACUUAUAAGCCUAAUUCACAAGUUUAAUUGAGCUGAUUUACAAGUUUUAAUAAGGCAAACUUAGCUAAGUUGAAGCUUGGCUCAUUUAUAUAACAAACUUUAAAAAUAAGCUUACAUAAACUCAUUAUUCCUUCACAAAUAAGUUUGAAUCAAGUUAUUAAUGAAUAGAGUUUCGACCAGCUUGACUCAUUUGCAGACCUUGUUCACAAGUCUAAUUGAGCUCACUUGUAAGAUUUAAUGAGACAAACUUAGCUAAUUUAGAAGCUCAACUCAUUUAUAUAACAAGCUUUAAAAAUAGACUUGCAUAAGCUCAAUAUAUAUUCAUAAAUAAGUUUGAACCAAGCUAUCAAUGAAUAGAGUUUCGAGUAGCGUGACUAACUUACAGACCUAUUUAAAAUCUCACAAUCUCCUUUAAAGAAAACAAAAAAAAACAAAAAAGAGCUCUUUCAAUUUUGAUGGUAACAACUUUGUUUUAACCUAGAAUGUCUUCAUCUCAUUCUAUUAUCCUUGAAAUUGAUCUAACACAAAAGGAUAGUAACUUUAAUCAUGUGAUCAAAUGACCAAGUUGCAUGGGAAUUGUUAAGGUAUGUGUGGGAUAUAUCAAAAGUUAUAUAACCUCCCAUAUAAUACAAGAGUCAUCAUAAUAUUCUUUAUCUUGAUUUAAAUUGAACCAAGUAUGAAAAAUGAUAGUACAAAUAUUUCUUCAUCUUCUUUUUCUUAAAAAAAUUAAGGGUAUUCAACUAUGGCAACCAUUAAGCAAGUUCAAGUUGUGAUAGAACUUGACAUCAAAAAGGGACUUCCUUAACAAAAUAAGUCGAUCAUCCAACAUUCUAUAUAAUUAACAUAAAAUAUCAAAUUUUACUUAUCAAAUGCACCAAUAAUGCAUAAUUCUAUUUUUCUUGAACUUUGAUACAUAAAAUAUCAAAUUUAUCAAAAAAAAAAAACAUCUCUUUUCCAUAUGCCUUGACCAUAUAUGUCAUAACCUAUUAAUUUUAGGGAUUUUUUAGAAGAAGAAACAACCAUUGCAUAUAAAAUAAGAUAAUCAUAGAAGACAUAAAGUUUUUCAGCCUGCUUUGCUUAUAUUGCAAUAAAGGGUCUUUAAUAAAUCUCAAACUCUAUCUGUAAUAGAGUACUUAAAUAAAAGCUAGGAAAAGUAUUUUUUAUUAAUUAUAAAUAUGUUGAACAAUGCACAAACUUCUCACCACAUCAUAUAUCAUUUAUUUUGACUCAAAUAAUUCCUACCUUACUUCAUAAAUUAAAUUAUUAGGUUUCAUAACUUCACCUCCAUUGACCUCGUAUAUGGAGAACCAAUCCAUGUUAAAAAAAAAAAAAAUAGGAACAAGAAGAAUUCAUAAUCGAAUCAUCUUGCAGUUUUGUAUUAUCAUUUAUAACGAUCACACAUUUAAACCCAUUAUGAGCAAUCACCAAAACAUUAGCCUCUUAAGAGUUUUCAAACCAUUUUCCUUUAUUCAUUAUCCAAUUUUCUUUUAACCUCGAACAUUUUUUUUCUAAAUAUAUGUUCUUUUUUGUUACAAUAAUUAAAAGUUAUAUUUUUAAUAUCCAAGUCUUAUUAUACUUGUAUUAUUAUUAUCAAAGUCUCUUUUUGAAAACCUAUCUCUACCAACCAAAGUUUUGUGGAAGUAUCAUUAAUAUAACCAUUAACAUAAGUAUCAAUUUUUGUUUGGAUGGUAAGGUCAUUUUGACCUCAUUAACAAAAAUGAUGAUUUUAUGAAAAAAGAAAGAUCUCUCAAAUGUAUUUAUAUGAGAUGUUGAUAAGGAACAUAAAAACAUAAAAUUUCAUUUUUCUCUUUAAUCAAACAUCAAUAGACAUCAAAUUCAUAACAAUAAAACAAUUUAUCAAGAUGAGUCAUUGUUGAUGCAUCUUUUAUCAUCCAUAACACAUACAAAAAAUUAUUCAAAUACAAGAUAUUCAUAAGAAAUUUUAUAUCAUCUAUAAAGGCUUUAACUUAGUAGUUUUUUUUUGUUGACCUCAUCAAAUAAACAAGAGCAUUAAGUUACUAAAUUCUUUUCGUCUAUAUCUUUCUUUUGAUCAUCUAUCACCUAUCACCUAUACGAAUAUUUUCAAGUUAACCAACAUAUCUUUUAUAACCGUUACUUUAUCAUAAUGGCACAUAACUCCACUUGUUAUAAACUAAAACUAUAGGUAUUGUACUACUCAAUCAGCAUACGAGUCUUUUGAACUAAAAAAAAUGAAUUCACCAUUUGGUAUUAAAGGAUUAAGAAAUCCAAAAAUGCAUUGGUGUUUUUCCAUAGAAAAUGGAUAGUGAUUUGGGAAUUAUACCUAAAGAAAGAUUGCAAUCAUCCAAGUACUUGUUUUCCAAUUUAAAAGUUCCAAUUAUGCAUACCAUUAUUUACCCAAUUAUUUUCUAAUUUUAUAUUAGGGUUAUUUUUUGACCAAACAUAAAGUCUAUUUAAGAUUUGAUUUUUGAGAUAAAUAUAGAAUGAACUCUCACAUUUGCUUUAUGUCAUUGGAACAUAAAUCGAGCAACGUAUAGAAUAUCUUAAGCUUAGAAGUGUGUUUCGGAUUUUAAAGAUCAAGUUCAUUUAUUAGGUGUUUUAGGGUUUUAAGCGCUACUUAGCUUUAUAGGCUUUUUUUUAUAAGAUGUUCACCACAUUGUCAAUCACAUGAACUCCUAAAAAAGUAUAAAAUUUAUAAAAAUCUUGUGAUGCUACAACUUUAUAGGAUUUGCAAAUACAUAUAUGAAAAAUAUAAAUUUGAUAAAAAUUAUAAUGGAAUCUCAUGUAGUUCAUGUUGAAUCCUAAAAUUAAAAAUUAUAUCAACUUAGAAUCCGAUCCAUUCACAAUUUCUCAUAUGAGCACAUAUGUGGAAAAUAUGGCAAAACACAUGCAAACAUUCACAAAGAUGCAAACCAUGGCAAGCAAGAUUACUAUAACAAGAAAAUAUGUAAUUGUAUAUAGUGUGCUAUUUUAUACAAGAUUUAUUGUGGAAUCAUGUAAAAAAGAAAAUCUUUUUCACUUAAUAUUGAAUCCAGUUUCCACUCCCAAUAUGAAUAACAAGCUUGGAAAAACAUGAUGAGCAAAAAUGGGACAAGAAAUUUAAAUUCACUCUCAAACACACUAUAAUUCAAGUCAAUCAAGCAGGAAAACUAAAAGUUCAAUUAAUUCAAGUAAAAUAAUGUAACGUACAUACAAGGUUAAUUAAUUCGACUUGUUGGAAUAAAUAGAAAAUGAGUUUCUCAAGCUGAUAUGGCAUGUGAUUCUAUAAGUUUAUUAGGGUAACUCAGUAGUAUUAUUAAUUUAAAAAAAUUUAGAAUGUACGGCUUGGUGUGUUAUUAAGUUUUGAUCCUACAAUCACCUAGAGGCACCCUCUCGAGUUCACCUCAUUAUUAAUCUCCGAGUAAAAUUAUAAAAGAUACGGUAAAAACAAUUGUUGGUACUUAUUGCUUCCAACAAGUCGAAUUAAUAAAGUCUCACAACUUUACUAAACACUCAAUCGUCAUACAUUUUUCUUGUAAUAAAAACUAGUCGCCAAUAACAACAAAUCACGUAAGACACACACAAACACACACAUUUAAGAAAACAAUUGAGGCUACGGGCUAUUUAAUUAGCCACAACCAUUUAAGAAUGAAAAGAAAAGAAAAGAAAUAGAGAGAAAUAGUAACUAGGUGAUCUGUGAUACGUCAUGGGUUGGGUCAAAUUUUUUCUAAUAUAAAAAAUAAUGUCAAGGUGAUGAUAAUCUAAGUCAAUUCGGGUUAACUUUACUAACACACGACCUGAGAUAUGAGAUCGAUACAACAAGUAGAAAGGAAAGAGAAAAAAAUAUUUGCAAAACUCAAGACCCAAUAAUCUAAUGUUAAAUGAUGAAACAAAAAAAUUAAAAAAAAUUAUGUCGAAGAAAAACCUUGAUUCAACCGGGGUUAACUUGACAACCAACCGCCCGCAAUAUAAAAUCAAAAUAAAAAAUUAGACUAUUAAAAGAAAGAUAUAACAAAAAAGACAAAAGUUCAAUAAAACAACAUUGAAAAAAACUCAAGCUAAUUUAGGUUAACUUGACUAAUCUGAUGUAAACCCCAGUACUAAAGAAUAUGAUUAGAUUUAAUAUUCGUUAAAUAGAUUCUAAGAAGAAAAGGCCAAUAAUAAGAGAGUUAAUGGGUUUGUAAAACCAAAGAAUGACCAAGAGGAUGAGAAAGUAAAUAGACCCGUAAAUGCUUAGAAAUUUUGUUAGCAAAUAUAUGGUCAUUUAGAAAUUUGAAAAUAAGUUCAAUUAAAAAGAGAAAGUGAUAAUAAAGGGAAUGGCUAAGCUAAAAUACAUUAAAUGAGACUUAAGAGAACAAGGAGUGAUAUAUAAAGGUAUGACAAAAAGAGGUACAAGGAUAAAGAUCACACAAGAGGAGGGACCAAAGUGGCAAAUAAUAUUCAAAUAAAACAAGUCAGCCCCCUUAUUUUUCAAAGGAAGGCUGAUGGUUAGGAAGGAGGAAAACACCUUUUCCUUCAUCUUCUCUUUAAAACCCUCAUUACCAAAACCUUGCAUGCACCUUUUGUACUUAAAAAAUAUAGAGAGAGAGAGGGGGAGGGAAGGAGAGAUAAACAAGAGAGUUAGACUUGUAGGCCUAAAAUAGGAGAAGAAAAAACCACCGUAGGGAGGAAGAAAGAAGAAAAAGCCAUGAGAGAGGAAGAAGUUUGGAGUUGGAAAAUCAAAGAGGAAAAGAGUCUUGAACAUAUACAAGAGAUUUAAAGACAUUCUUAGUAAGUAUUCAAGUAAAGCCCCAAAUUCUCAAGUAGGGGUACUUGAACAACCUUGAAGAGAUUGAGAAAUUAAGACCAAAUAAGUAGAGUAGAGAUGAAAUAUAUAAGAAAUGUGAAACAAGUGCUGAAAAUGAUGAAUAAAAAUGGACAUUUUAGAAACCUUAGGGUUCGACCAAAAAGGGAAAAUUAGGGGAAAGUUUUUUUAAAAUGAAUUGUGUACUUAUAUGGUUAUAAUUGGUGUUAUUAUACAAAAGUCUAAUGAUUUCUUUUGUUAAAAUGAAUGUUUAAAGAUUUCCUUAAAUUUAAUUUUUUAUAUGGACAUGCUUGAAAGGAUGAGUAGAAUUACAUAGAACAAACUAUACCAUGUUAUGUGAGCUUGCUUAUAUGCAAGUAGAGAAGGAAUUUUAUGAAGAAAAAAAAUGGAGUUUAAGGACUAUAACGUUUUGACCAAGUAAGCAAGUCCUAAAGGAAAAUCUUCAAAAUUCAAUUUUUUUUUUCAUGUAUGUUGAGGAGAUAGACCUUUUAACAUAGUUGUGGUGAUUCCUUGAUGAAAUGGGCAAUCUAGAGACAUGGUAGGUUUGAAUUUUUGGAUUGAUCACUACCAGAAAAUUGUCAAAUACAAACGGAAACACUGACAAAAAAUUCCAUUGGUAUGUCGCGAUGACCUUUACCGACAUAAUUUUUCAUCCCUGUAUCCAUUGGUAAAUACUGAUAGAAAAUUCCAUCGGUAUAUACUGAGGGAAUGACAACGGAAUUACAAUGGGAUUCAAAAAGGCAAAUCGUACGGUGAUGUGAUAUUUUUACCAAUAGAAUGAUCGAUGGAUUUACUAACAGUAUAAUUUUGUUGGUAAUACCGUCAAUGAUAUUUAAUUUAUGACCUGGUAAUUGACCCUCCUCUCCCCAUCUCCCCCUCCCCCAUUUCUCCUUCUUCCUUAUGCAUUUUUUCUGCAACAAACAGUCACCCCUCGCCCAUUCUCAACACAAUUCAACCUCCCACAACAAAUCCAACCACCAGAACACUCAAUUUGUCAGCAUCUGUAUUCUGAUUCAAAUUUUAUUGAGCAUUCUCCACUUUAAGUACGUAAAUCUACCCUUUUCUUAACUCAAUUUUAAAAUGUUGAUUUUUUUCAUAUUUUUUAGUAUAUUUAUUUUAUUUGGGUGUUUACUUGUUUUAUAGUAUUUUCUCAUAUAAGUUUGUUGUAUGGAUUUGCGAUUUGUACAUCUUAGAGUUUGUUUUAGAUUUUAUAAAAUUAUAUAUGUAUGUAAAUUGAUGAAACUUAUGUCGAAUUUCUUAACUCAAAUUUAAAAUAUUUAUUUUUUAUAUAUAUUUUUAGUAUAUUUAUUUUAUUUAGGUGUUUACUUGUUUUAUAGUAUUUUCUCAUAUAAGUUUGUUGAAUGGAUUUGCGAUUUGUACAUCUUAGAGUUUGUUUUAGUUUUUGUAAAGUUAUAUAUGUAUGUAAAUUGAUGAAACUUAUGUCGAAUUUCUGACUUGGAAAAGAAUUAUUGCAAAUGUCACUAUUAUUGAUGGGGGUUACUGACAGAAUUAGACCGUUGGUAAAUUGCAAAAAGUUAGAAAAGAAUUACUGCAAAUGUCAUUGUUACUAUUAAUGCACCGACAAAAUUACAUAUGGUAUUUAGUCAGUGAUAUGUUAUAUUUGCCGAUGGAUAUACCAAUGAAAUAAAAAGGGUAAUUUUUUUUUGCGCCUUUGUCAGUCUUUAAAUCCAUCGGUUUAUUUAUUAUCGACAGACUAACCGAUAGUCCAUAAAUUACCAACAAGAAUUUUUUCGACGGAUUGUUUCUGUCCAUAAGUUCAUCGGUAACAUAUGAACGGACUGCUAGUGUAAAUACCAACAGGAAUUUCCAUUGGUCAAACUGUUAAAUUUGAUAGUGAUUUAUGAUGAUUAUUAUUGAAUGUAGAGUAAAUUUUACUACGAUAUGUAAAUAUGAGAAGCAUGUUAGAUUUAGUGAGAAAUUUGAAAGAAAAUAUCUAGAAAAAUAGGAGAUGAGAUUUUAGCCAUGUGAGAAGAAAUGAAUGUGAUACUUUCCACCAGGAUAAAACUAGAAUACAUGUGUGUAAUUUAACUUAUUAUUCAUGAAUAUGAGUGUUUAUCCUAAAAAUCAUUACUUGUAUAAGUCAAGUUAUAGAAAAUCAAGUAAAUUAAUAUUUAGAGAAACCUUGAAAUGGAAUAAAAAUGUAGAAUGGUGUAUGCUUAAUGAAAAAUGAUGAAAUGGACACUAAGAGAGAAUGGCCUAAAAUUCGACCACCCAAGAAAUAGGGAAGAAAAUGAACUUUUUCAUGGUGUAAUUAAUGUUAGGCAUGGGAGGAAAACUUGAAAUUAAAUGAGUGAAUUAAGUUCAUGUAGGAAAUGGUGAACGUAAAGAGAGUUGGAAAAGUGAUACAAUAAAUAAGGUGUUAUGGUGGGUGAUAUAAUAAUAUAAAUGCACGAAAUAGUUUCUAGAAAGUACCUAGAAAGAAGUUUAUAUGCGUGUGUAUGCUUGUAUAGGUUUCAGCCAAAUGAAAUUUUUAGGGAGAAAAUGUUCCAAAAAGUACAAAGUUGGUGGGGGGUAAAAAAGAUUGGAAAUAAAAAGAAUAAAAUCCCUCAAACAAGGUGAGAAAUUGAAGAGAUAUUGUAUGAAACAUAAACUAAAAGUACAAGAAGAACAUUACAAAGCAACGGAAAUGAAUGAGUUGUAAAAACACAUAGUUAUGUACAUUGGUAUAAACUAAAUAUUAUGGUAAAAAUGGUUUUAAAUGGUAUAUUGACUUAAACACUCUUUAUGAAUCAAGGGGAACACCAGGGACUAGAUCGUCGAUUGAAGGAGAUCACACCAUUAGAAGAGCAGUUAGGCUUUCUUUUCCUAUGCUUUUACUUUAAUUUGACAAAGUCUUUUAAUUUAGAUCAUGAUUAUUAUAAAUUUUUUAUGGAUAUUAUUUUAAUUUCAUAGAACUCGAUGAAAAAAAAUAAAAGACUAGUGUGUUGUUGGUUCCAAGUGGGGGAACUCAUUGUGUUGUUGUUUUCAAGAAGAGAAAAACUGUUGUGUUGUUGGUUCCAAGUGGUAGAACACAACGUGUUGUUAUUUCUUAAAAGAGAAAAAUCAUUGUGUUGUUCGUUCCAAGUGGUGGAAUCCAAUAUGUUGUUGUUUCCAAAAGGAUGGAAACAUUAUGUUAUUGGUUCCAAGUGUUGGGACUCAUUGUCAUGUUGUUUCAUAAAUUAUGGAAACCGCUAUGGUUGGUUCCAAGUGGUGGAACCCAUUGUGUUGUUGUUUUCAAAAGGAUGAAAAUCAUUGUGUUGUCAAUUCCAAGUGUUGGAACCUAUUCGGCUAUUGCUUCAAAUGGAUAAGGAGUUAUAAUGUUAUUGUUCAUAGAUAAAUGAGGACGAUUGUAUAUGUCUUCACCACAAAUGGAUGUCGUGGGUUUGAAAAUGAUUCAAGUCUAUAAGAAUUUGACCUGUGUUUUGUCAUAUUACAAGAGCAUAUUAUGACAUCUUAAAGUGUAUAAAAUGUAAGAGGUUAUGUAAAUUUUAAUUUGGUGGUGGUGUGUGUGUGCAUCUGAAUCAUGGCAGUGCAAUCAGACUUUGACGUUGAAGAGUUCGGUUGAAUCGAACGCUGAGGAUGCAUUCUUUGAUCAAGUGGUAGCGCUGCCCUGUGCAGGCUUAUUUCUGCUGGCAAAUGCCAAGAAGAAUGCCAUAUAUGUUGUACACUUGGAAUAUGGGCCUUAUCCUGCUGCAACCCGCAUGGAUUACAUAGCUGAGUUUACAGUUACAAUGCCUAUUUUGAGUCUUACUGGAACUAGUGAUAGUUUACCAAAUGGAGAACAUAUUGUUCAGGUUUACUGUGUGCAAACACAAGCUAUUCAACAAUAUGCGUUGAACUUGUCUCAAUGCCUUCCACCACCUCUGGAGAACAUGGAGUUGGAGAGAACAGAAUCUAAUGUUUCUCAUGCUUUCGAUGCUUCUAAUUCUGAUGGUUCCACUAUUAUGGAAUCUUCUCAUAGAAGUAAACCCACUUAUAUGUCUGCAGGUAACAUCGCUUCCAUACCACCAAUCAUCCAGAAAGCUUAUGUUCUUCUUAAAGAGUAUUAAAAAUACUUAGAAGUUUACAGUGUAAUUCUCAACAUAAUAUUAUUGAUGCUCAGCCUAUAAUUAUAUACAGAGGAUUACAACGAUUACAUAUUCUAUUAAGGAAAGAUUACAGCAAUCAAAAGCUAUUUAUGGACAGAAUAUUUGUAUUAAUUCACAAGCAUGAUUGUAGACUUGGUGCUGUAAGUCAGCAGCGGAUUUCCUUCAUAGUGAUGCUGCAAUCACUUGCAGAUUUCAUGCAUCUGCAGAUUUUCAGCAUCUUCCUUAAUAUGCCCCCGCAAAAUUGAACUUCCAUCAGCAAGUCCAAUUUUGGCUCGUAAUAAUUCAGUUCGUGUCCGAGACAGUGGCUUUGUUAAUAGAUCUGCAAGUUGGUCUUGAGUGUGGACGUGGCGCACAUGAAGAAUACCCUUCUGAACUUGAUCACGCACAAAAUGAAGAUCAAUUUGGAUAUGCUUCAUUCGUGAGUGCUGAACCGGAUUGAAACUAAGGUGAGUUGCACCAAGAUUGUCACACAAUAGAGAAGGUGGCACUGUCAAUGGAAAUCCAAGUUCAUGAAAAAGGGCAAGAAGCCAUAGUGUUUCUGAAGCGCCAUUAGCAAGUGCGCGAUAUUCAGCUUCCGUAGAGGAUCGAGCAACAGCCCUCUGUUUUUUCGAACUCCAGGAGAUAGGGUUGCAGCCAAGAAACGUAAUGUAAGCCGAUGUAGACGUGCGAUCAUUAAUGUUACCAGCCCAGUCAGCAUCACUAUAAGUUGUUAAACUCGGUGCAGCAGCUUUCCGGAUAUGAAUGCCAUGAAAAAUUGUUCGCUUGAGAUAGCGAAGAAGCCUCUUGGUGGCAGCCCAAUGAGUGACCGUGGGCUUGUGCAUAAAUUGAGACAGUUUAUUGACUGCAAAACAGAUGUUCGGACGAGUUAAGGAGAGGUAUUGCAGGCUGCCAAUAAUACGCCUAUACUCGGUGCUAUCCACUGAUGCUGUUCCAUCCAGGAGAUGAAGAGAUUGAGUAGUGGACAAAGGGGUGGAGAUGUCCUUGGCACCAGCCAUGUUUUGAGUCUCCAAGAUGAAAUAAACCUGCAUGUGUAGGAAUGACUUCAACUCCCAAGAAGUAGUGAAGUGAGCCCAUAUCCUUCAAGGAAAACCGAGUACCGAGAGCAGUAACAACAUGUCCUACAAACUGAGAAUCACUGCCUGUAAUCACCAAAUCGUCAACAUAAACAAGCACAUAACAAGUAACUGAGUUAUGACGAUAGAUAAACAGUGAGGAAUCAGCUGUAGAAUUCUGAAAACCAAGUUGCAAAAGUGAAGAUCGCAAGGCCGAAUACCACGCCCUAGGAGCCUGUUUGAGACCAUAGAUGGCUUUCUUUAAUCUGCAUACAUAAUCAGGUUUGGAUAGAUCUUUAAAACCCGGAGGCUGCAACAUAUAAACAGUUUCAGACAACAUGCCAUGUAAGAAAGCAUUAUUGACAUCCAUUUGUCUCAAGCACCACCCAUUCAUAACAGCAAUGUUCAACACAGUUCUAAUGGUUGCUGGUUUAACAACCGGGCUAAAGGUUUCUUUAUAAUCAACUCCAGGACGCUGAUUGUAACCCAUUGCAACAAGCCGGGCUUUGAAUUUUUCAACCGAGCCAUCUGCCUUGCGUUUGAUUCGAAAAACCCACUUACAACCUACGGGCUUACAGUCUUUGGGAGGAGGAAUUAAAUCCCAUGUACCAUGACUCAUAAGGGCUGUUAACUCACUAGACAUGGCUGCACGCCAUUCAGGAUGAGAUACGGCUUGGCUCACACAAGUUGGUUCCAGGGAAGGGGGAAGGGAAUGCUUGGACACAGUGUUCAAUUGUUUAGGUUUGAAAAUAUUGUUCAUCGAUCGAGUGGUCAUGGAGUGAUUAUGGGGUGGAAUACUGUCAAUUGAUGCUGAACAUGGCAAGGGGACAGUAGAUGCAGGGAAAACAUGUGAAGUAGAGGGGAGAUGCUCAUGAUGCAGAUUAUCAAUUGACUCAGAAAUAGAAGGCGAGUGAGAUGGAGAAAUACCUGGAGAUGACGCGGAGGAGGCAGUAACAGCGUCCAAACUUGUUGAUGAUUCCAAUGGUGGAGUGGAGAUCGGCGAAGAUAUCGUAGGAACGAGAGGAGCAGGAGCGAUUACAGGGCAUGUAAUGGGUUUGAGAAACUGAUGGGUAUGGUUGGGCGGGCGGGUGGAUGAUAAGUGGCCGGGUGGGUGAUUUUUUGAUACUAGACUUUGAGAUUCAUCGAACAGUACGUGUUUGGACACAUAAAUUCGAGCAGUUAAGGGAUCAAUGCAUUUGUAAGCAUUUUGGGUUGGUGAGUAUCCUAUAAAAACACAGGGAGUGGACUUAGGCUGUAACUUAUGGGUGUUAUAUGGCUUGGUGAGAGGAUAGCAUAAACAUCCAAAUUUCUGUAAUUUGAGAUAAUUUGGUUGUUGAUGAAAAAGAACUUCAAAUGGGGAUUUAUUUUGAAGAAGAGGAGUGGGUUGACGAUUUAUGAGAUAAGCGGCAGUUUGAAAAGCAUGAGGCCAAUAAGAGAGAGAUAAGGAGGCAUCAUGAAGCAAGGUGAGACCUGUUUCAACAAGAUGACGAUGACGUCUUUCAGUAACACCAUUUUGUUGGGGAGUGUGGGGAGCAGUAGUGUAAUGACUUAUACCAUGAUUGGACAAGUAAGGUUUUAACUUUAGAAAUUCACCACCAUUAUCUGAGUACAAAGCUUUGAUGGUGGAUUGAAAUCUUUUUUCCACCAGCAUUUUGAAUUGGGGAAAGAUACUAGACACCUGUGAUUUUGCAGACAUUGGAUAGAACCACAUAUAUUUGGUAUAAUGGUCCACGAAAAAAAGAUAAUACCGUGCACCACAAACCCCAGUAAUGUGAGCAGGACCCCAAACAUCAGUGUAUACAAUGUCAAGUGGAGAGUGACUUUGAAAACUUGUUGAUCCAAAAGGUUGUUUAUGCGCUUUAUUUGUGGAACAGGAAGUACAUAAAGAUGAAAUUUUUUUUGUUGAAACAGGAAGGGAUAAUUGAUUGACAAGAUGUUGAACAAUUUUAAUGGAAGGGUGUCCAAGUCGUUUGUGCCACCCAUCAAGUGAAGUUCGUUCAUGCACAUAAGCAACUUUUUUUGGAGUGGGAGAAGCCACCAAGGAGUCUGGAAACAUGUAUACGUCAUUCUCACACGCACCUCUUAGAAGUAUUGCCCCCGUGGUUUUGUCCUUCACAAGAAAAAAAAAUGGGUGAAGUUCAAGAAAAACAUUAUUAUGUUUAGUGAAGUGAUGAACUGAAAUGAGAUUCUUAUGAAUAUGAGGAACACAUAAGGUAUCAUGUAAAUGAAACGUUUUGGUAGGUGUGGGUAAAGCUAAGGAACCAAUAUGUGUAACUGCCAAACCUGUACCAUCACCAAGAAGAACCUCAUCAGUGCCGUCAUAUUCAGAGUGAACAGAUAGGUUUUGGAGAUCACCCGUGAUGUUAUGAGAGGCUGCAGAAUCAAUUAACCACUUAUUAUCUUGAGUAUCCGAGGAUGCAGCACAAUUAACAGACAUUGUAGAGGAUUGAAGUUUCGGGCAGAUCUUGGCUGUGUGACCCAAUUGGUCACAAUAUUGACAUUUUUGCUGAAAACGCCGGUUUGGAUUGGGACGGCCUGAAUUAUUAUUGUUGCGCUGGCGGUCUCUAAAUGAGCUAUUUGAGGAGCGGUUUUGUCCUGGUUGGCGAAAAAAACAUUUCCUCUGUUGCUUCCCCUGUUUUGCUGAGAUGAAGCGGUGACUGGUAAAGUUUGCAGCAGCCACGAGCUGCUGUGUAGCAGCCUCCAGCCUCCUUAAGUAACUCUCAUGCCCAACAAGCAUAUCAUGGAGUUCUUCAAAGGCAAGAGAUUUUUCUCGUGCUCGAAUAGGAGCAGCAAUCUCACGAAAUUCUGGACCUAACCCAUGAAGGACAUAGAGGGUUAAGUCAUCAUCAGAGAUGGGGUGAUCAAUAAGUGCAAUUUCAUCAGCCAAGCUUUUGACCGUAUGAAGAUACUCUGAAAUCGGUUGAUUUCCACGCUGGAUCAAGGUUAGUUCUUCCUUGAGUUGCAUUGCCCUUGUACGCGAUUUACUUGCAUACAGUGUUGAUAAUUUUUUCCAUGCCUCGUGUGAGGUUUUGGUUGUGGCAAUGAGAGGCGUGAUGGAGGGUGAAGUGGAUGCAAGAAUGGCGCUGAGAAUAAGCUUGUCUUGCCUUACCCACCUAUUUUUUUUUGCUACAGACUGUGGAGUACCAUCUGAGGGAGGGCACUGAGAUUCUCCAUUAACAUAGUUUAGGAGAUCAUAGCCAAUGAGAAGAGCCUCAAAUUGUGCUCGCCAUUGAGGAAAGGAUGAGGGUGUGAGUUUCUCAUUGAUUUGAGUGGUGAUGUUGAAAACAACAAGGGAAAGUUCAGGGGAGGAGGUAGGCAGAUUUGUGGAAGACAUGGGGAUGAAAUUCUCGUUAGAGAGACGCGGCUCUGAUACCAUAAAGAGUAUUAAAAAUACUUAGAAGUUUACAGUGUAAUUCUCAACAUAAUAUUAUUGAUGCUCAGCCUAUAAUUAUAUACAGAGGAUUACAACGAUUACAUAUUCUAUUAAGGAAAGAUUACAGCAAUCAAAAGCUAUUUAUGGAUAGAAUAUUUGUAUUAAUUCACAAGCAUGAUUGUAGACUUGGUGUUGUAAGUCAGCAGCGGAUUUCCUUCAUAGUGAUGCUGCAAUCACUUGCAGAUUUCAUGCAUCUGCAGAUUUUCAGCAUCUUCCUUAAUACUUCUGAUGUUAAUAGCUCACUAGAUAUAGCUUCUUCUGGGGGGCAAACCAAGGCUACUGCAUCACAUAAUAAUGCUGACAAUACCAACACUGUGCCACCCCUUCUACCGAUGAGUCCAAGGUUGCCUCGAAAGUUGUCAGGUCUCCAGAGUCUGUCAAAUAGCACAGAUACUAGUUUGCAGUUCAGUGAUCAUGCUGGUGACCAGUCUGUUCCAUAUUAUUUGGUGGACCGCAGAAUUGAAACUGUGAAGGAAAAUGCAAGUGAUACAUCCUCUGGUGAUAAUUUGAGUAAGGGUGAGAAGAAUGUCAAACAAACUGAUAUUGCAAUGGUUUCUGAAACUCCAAUAAUGUUUAAACAACCAACCCAUCUUAUAACUCCAUCGGAGAUAUUAUCCAGGGCCGUUUCUUCUGAAAAUUCCCAAACCACUCAGGGCCUGAAUGUCACAGAGGCAAAGAUUCAGGAUGUGCUUGUGAACAAUGAUAUUGAAAGUGCUGAAGUGGAGCUUAAAGUUGUUGGAGAGACAGGAACUGAUCAAAAUAAUGACUUUGACUUGCCCAGAGAAUCUCACACUGCUGUUGCAGAGAAGAAAGAGAAAUCCUUCUACUCUCAGGCCUCAGAUCUCGGCAUUCAGAUGGCAAGAGAUUGUUGUG